rnacentral:rRNA from 1 species
ACAUGGAUAUAGAAUAGGGUUAAUGCACUAGAUCCCAUUAUAACUCUGCAGUUAAGAACGCUUAGGCUAGUGUAGUACUGGGAUGGGUGACCAUUCGGGAAGUCAUAGUGUUUCACAUGCC